UAGUUUGGUAGCAAUACCGAAGGAAGUCUAGCGGCGAACGGGUGCUUAACACGUGGGCAACCUGCCAAGAAGUGGGGGAUAGCUCGCCGAAAGGCGAAUUAAUACCGCAUGUGAUUAGAGAGGACAUCCUUUCGAAAUUAAAGUCGGGGCAACCUGACGCUUUUUGUGGGGCCCGCGGCCUAUCAGCUAGUUGGUGAGGUAACGGCCCACCAAGGCUUUGACGGGUAGCUGGUCUGAGAGGACGACCAGCCACACUGGGACUGAGACACGGCCCAGACACCUACGGGUGGCAGCAGUCGAGAAUUUUUGACAACGGGGGAAACCCUGAUCGAGCGACGCCGCGUGGAGGAUGAAGGUCUUCGGAUUGUAAACUCCUGUCAUUGGGGAACAAGUCGCUUACGUUAACUGCGUGAGCGUUGAUAGUACCCGAAGAGGAAGAGACGGCUAACUCUGUGCCAGCAGCCGCGGUAAUACAGAGGUCUCAAGCGUUGUUCGGAUUCAUUGGGCGUAAAGGGUGCGUAGGCGGCGCGGUAAGUCGGGUGUGAAAUCUUGGAGCUUAACUCCGAAACUGCAUUCGAUACUGCCGUGCUUGAGGACUGGAGAGGAGACUGGAAUUCACGGUGUAGCA
rnacentral:rRNA from 1 species